GGUUAAGUUAGAAAGGGCGCACGGUGGAUGCCUUGACACUAGGAGUCGAUGAAGGACGGGACUAACGCCGAUAUGCUUCGGGGAGCUGUAAGUAAGCUUUGAUCCGAAGAUUUCCGAAUGGGGAAACCCACCAUACGUAAUGGUAUGGUAUCCUUAUCUGAAUACAUAGGGUAAGGAAGACAGACCCAGGGAACUGAAACAUCUAAGUACCUGGAGGAAGAGAAAGCAAAUGCGAUUUCCUGAGUAGCGGCGAGCGAAACGGAACAUAGCCCAAACCAAGAGGCUUGCCUCUUGGGGUUGUAGGACAUUCUAUACGGAGUUACAAAGGAACGAGGUAGACGAAGCGACCUGGAAAGGUCCGUCGUAGAGGGUAACAACCCCGUAGUCGAAACUUCGUUCUCUCUUGAAUGUAUCCUGAGUACGGCGGAACACGUGAAAUUCCGUCGGAAUCUGGGAGGACCAUCUCCCAAGGCUAAAUACUCCCUAGUGAUCGAUAGUGAACCAGUACCGUGAGGGAAAGGUGAAAAGCACCCCGGAAGGGGAGUGAAAGAGAUCCUGAAACCGUGUGCCUACAAAUAGUCAGAGCCCGUUAACGGGUGAUGGCGUGCCUUUUGUAGAAUGAACCGGCGAGUUACGAUCCCGUGCGAGGUUAAGUUGAAGAGGCGGAGCCGCAGCGAAAGCGAGUCUGAAUAGGGCGUUUAGUACGUGGUCGUAGACCCGAAACCAGGUGAUCUACCCAUGUCCAGGGUGAAGUUCAGGUAACACUGAAUGGAGGCCCGAACCCACGCACGUUGAAAAGUGCGGGGAUGAGGUGUGGGUAGCGGAGAAAUUCCAAUCGAACCUGGAGAUAGCUGGUUCUCCCCGAAAUAGCUUUAGGGCUAGCCUUAAGUGUAAGAGUCUUGGAGGUAGAGCACUGAUUGGACUAGGGGUCCUCAUCGGAUUACCGAAUUCAGUCAAACUCCGAAUGCCAAUGACUUAUCCUUAGGAGUCAGACUGCGAGUGAUAAGAUCCGUAGUCAAAAGGGAAACAGCCCAGACCGCCAGCUAAGGUCCCAAAGUGUGUAUUAAGUGGAAAAGGAUGUGGAGUUGCUUAGACAACUAGGAUGUUGGCUUAGAAGCAGCCACCAUUUAAAGAGUGCGUAAUAGCUCACUAGUCGAGUGACUCUGCGCCGAAAAUGUACCGGGGCUAAAUACACCACCGAAGCUGCGGAUUGAUACCAAUGGUAUCAGUGGUAGGGGAGCGUUCUAAGGACAGUGAAGUCAGACCGGAAGGACUGGUGGAGUGCUUAGAAGUGAGAAUGCCGGUAUGAGUAGCGAAAGACGGGUGAGAAUCCCGUCCACCGAAUGCCUAAGGUUUCCUGAGGAAGGCUCGUCCGCUCAGGGUUAGUCAGGACCUAAGCCGAGGCCGACAGGCGUAGGCGAUGGACAACAGGUUGAUAUUCCUGUACCACCUCUUUAUCGUUUGAGCAAUGGAGGGACGCAGAAGGAUAGAAGAAGCGUGCGAUUGGUUGUGCACGUCCAAGCAGUUAGGCUGAUAAGUAGGCAAAUCCGCUUAUCGUAAAGGCUGAGCUGUGAUGGGGAAGCUCCUUAUGGAGCGAAGUCUUUGAUUCCCCGCUGCCAAGAAAAGCUUCUAGCGAGAUAAAAGGUGCCUGUACCGCAAACCGACACAGGUAGGCGAGGAGAGAAUCCUAAGGUGUGCGAGAGAACUCUGGUUAAGGAACUCGGCAAAAUGACCCCGUAACUUCGGGAGAAGGGGUGCUUUCUUAACGGAAAGCCGCAGUGAAUAGGCCCAAGCGACUGUUUAGCAAAAACACAGCUCUCUGCGAAGCCGUAAGGCGAAGUAUAGGGGGUGACACCUGCCCGGUGCUGGAAGGUUAAGGAGAGGGGUUAGCGUAAGCGAAGCUCUGAACUGAAGCCCCAGUAAACGGCGGCCGUAACUAUAACGGUCCUAAGGUAGCGAAAUUCCUUGUCGGGUAAGUUCCGACCCGCACGAAAGGUGUAACGAUUUGGGCACUGUCUCAACCAGAGACUCGGUGAAAUUAUAGUACCUGUGAAGAUGCAGGUUACCCGCGACAGGACGGAAAGACCCCGUGGAGCUUUACUGUAGCCUGAUAUUGAAUUUUGGUACAGUUUGUACAGGAUAGGCGGGAGCCAUUGAAACCGGAGCGCUAGCUUCGGUGGAGGCGCUGGUGGGAUACCGCCCUGACUGUAUUGAAAUUCUAACCUACGGGUCUUAUCGACCCGGGAGACAGUGUCAGGUGGGCAGUUUGACUGGGGCGGUCGCCUCCUAAAGUGUAACGGAGGCGCCCAAAGGUUCCCUCAGAAUGGUUGGAAAUCAUUCGUAGAGUGCAAAGGCAUAAGGGAGCUUGACUGCGAGACCUACAAGUCGAGCAGGGACGAAAGUCGGGCUUAGUGAUCCGGUGGUUCCGCAUGGAAGGGCCAUCGCUCAACGGAUAAAAGCUACCCCGGGGAUAACAGGCUUAUCUCCCCCAAGAGUCCACAUCGACGGGGAGGUUUGGCACCUCGAUGUCGGCUCAUCGCAUCCUGGGGCUGUAGUCGGUCCCAAGGGUUGGGCUGUUCGCCCAUUAAAGCGGUACGCGAGCUGGGUUCAGAACGUCGUGAGACAGUUCGGUCCCUAUCCGUCGUGGGCGUAGGAAAUUUGAGAGGAGCUGUCCUUAGUACGAGAGGACCGGGAUGGACGCACCGCUGGUGUACCAGUUGUUCUGCCAAGGGCAUAGCUGGGUAGCUAUGUGCGGAAGGGAUAAGUGCUGAAAGCAUCUAAGCAUGAAGCCCCCCUCAAGAUGAGAUUUCCCAUAGCGUAAGCUAGUAAGAUCCCUGAAAGAUGAUCAGGUUGAUAGGUUCGAGGUGGAAGCAUGGUGACAUGUGGAGCUGACGAAUACUAAUAGAUCGAGGACUUAACCAU
rnacentral:rRNA from 1 species